UUUGUUUCCGGGGAAAUGCUGAAUGUGUGUGCAGCAGGAGGGGGCUGGGUGCUUUGCUUCAGGGAAAGAAACAGGGCGGGGACCAGGAGACGCCAGCCAAGGAACAGCCCCUUUCUGGCCCCGGGGAUUCUGAAGGUGCAUAUAAUGCCCCCCACAGCUGCCCUUCAGCCGUGUCCUCCCACUGGGACCCGGGAUCUCCUUCCUUGCAGGACAAAGGCCAGCGACACCGUCCGUCCUCCACGGAAAGGCUCUCCCAGCAGCCUCUGACUCUGCUGGUCCUCUCCACACACUUGAUUCUCCUCCUGUCCCCUCUCCCGGCCUGCCCCUCGCCAAGGUGACAACAGCAUCACAAGCUUGCUUGUCUUCUGUCACUGGGCAAGUGCCUCCCUCGGCUGUCCCCACUGCUCUACCCUCCACGGCAGCCCCACGGGUAGGCGCUCUGUGGAACGGGUCCCUCUCUCUCCACUGCCUCGCUGCAACCUGACCCGAGUCCGCAUGCCUCCCAUCGGUCUCCUGCUUCUCCUCGUGCACCAUGGCAACCAGAGCCACCUUCUCAGCCCUGAGCAGAACCUGUCUCUCCCGCAGAGCUCUGCAGGAUCAGGGACCACUCUCUCUCCAGCCACCCUGACCCAGCUUAUUCUGGCCCCAGGGCCUUUACACUGUUUGCUCUCCCCCAUCACUUUUCCUCUCCAGAGACUCAGCGCGGCCUCUAAGUGGGGCUGCCUGUGUGAGUCCCAUCUCCACCAUUGGCUCUGUAUAGCUGUGGGUGACUCAUCCAGCUGUGCCUCUGUGUCCUCAUCUGCGGGACAGGGAGAGAACCUCCCACCGAGGUUGGACAUGGGUUGACCACGUAUUACAACAAGGGACACAUGACCACAGGACCACUGGUGUCAGGGGCAGGGAAGCACAGGGAGGAGAACCAGCAGAGGUAGGACGCAGACGCGGACGGAGAGAAUCUCAGGAGAGAGUGGCUCGUGGCGUCGGACCCAGAACCUCCAGGAUAUGGUGACGGGCAACAUUGCCGGAGAGUAAACACCUCUCUCCUUGAAGCUCUGACUGACAGUGUCUCAAGCCCUCCCCUCCAGGCCAGGAUUUCUCAUCCUCUACACGACCGACCGCCUUUGGGGCUAACUCUCCACCACGGGGGCCUGUCUGUCCCGUGCGUGACAGGACGUUUAGCAGCAUCCCCGGCUAGAUGCCCACCAGAUGCCAGUCGCACUGUCUCCCCCGAGUUGUGACCACCAAAAAUGUCUCCAGAUAUUGCCAGCUGGCCCAGCAGAACCGCUCCUGCGGCGGACCACUGCCCCAAGCCACUGCCCCAAGCCCCUGCAGGACACAUGUCUGUCCCAUGCCCUGUGCAGUCAUGGACCCCAGGCGUGGCCCUGGAUCUUAACUGCCCUGAAUCGCCAGCACCGGACCUGACUGCAGUCAGCUCCUGUUUUGUAGAAGGAGCCUGAGGCUGGAGGCCGGUCCCUCUCACCCAGCUUGAACCCGACUCCCCAGCAGGGGCAAGGGCAGGGCCCUGAGGGGUCCUAUCAUAUUCCCCUGGUUCUGCCACCUGAUCCCAUUGAGGUACGUAGCCUCAUUUCCUUUCCUGCUGUCCUUAUCAAGUACUUUGUCCCUUGGGGAACAAGGACGGUAAAAAAAAAAAAAAAGAAAUAUUCAGGCAGGAGUCAUCUGCCAUGAAAGCUGGUUAAAAUAC